GAGAGAGGGGGGCAUCGGGAGCGGGGCGGGGUAGAGGAGGAAGAGAGAGGAGGAAGAGAAGGAGACACUCGCGCAGAUCCGGAUGCCUUCAGUGCUGGGGAAAGAGCCGAUCCAUGAGGGGAGGAUGGUGCCGAGGAGAGAGCGAAAGAGCGAGGAAAGGCUUUGCCAAAGGUGGACGGCUGGUGCAAAGGCUGGGCAGAACCUUCGACCCUCAAGGGUCCCUGGAGUGGAAAUGAGAGGCAGACACAGACAGACAGACAGAAGAAGACAAAGAGCAAAAGCAGCCUCGAUCUGGACUGGAGAGAGAGACAGAGAGAGAAGAAGGAAGAGAGCUGAGCAGUGCAGGCAUUAGCUGUCCCUGCCAAUUUUGUAUCAUCUACAGAUUUGAUAAGCAUUCCCUGCACUUCAUCAUCUAAGUCAUUAAUAAAAACGUUGAAGAGCACUGGGCCCAUGACUGAACCCUGUGGUAACCCACUCAUUCCCUGCCUCCAGUUUGAGAAGAAACCAUUGAUAAGAACUCUUUGAGUACGAUUCUGUAGCCAACUGUGGAUCCACCUCGUAGUUGUUCCACCCAGCCCACAUUUAUCUAGCUUGCUAAUCAGAAGAACAGAUAUACGUAAGAUGGCGUCGGUGACGGCAGCUGCUUCCACCCACCCCGUCUCCCACAGAAGACGCUGCUGACGCGGUGACACGAAAAUGGGUUGCGAGAGACCGGAAGAUAAUGGAGUUUUGACCCUUACCUCGGCUGAGUGGCAGCUGCCUCCUGUUUGCCAGCGAGGCCACCGAGGUAGUCUUUCCCCGCAAAGAAAGCCGGCUGAGGGGCGUCUGAAGGCUGACCUAGUUUCAGCCACCGCGGCCAUGGCUCCACUUUCUGGGAGGCUUUUUCCUUGUGGAGAGGGGGGAUGCAAGGGAGACCAACCCACAGGUACGCCGUUCCAACACGUGAGGGGAGAUAGUGACAGCGGCGGCUGUUCUCGGCCUGCCCCCCAUGCUCGUUUUCAUCGCCUAUUGCCCAGCGCCACUGAGGAGCUUCUUUGCUUCGGUGGACUCACAAGCAAGACUUCCCCAGAGACGUGCCGGUGCCAUCAGCCACUCAAUGCCACUUGACACCGAUGCUUGUGAUCGGGCUGCCGGGAAGAGCUAGGGCGGCGACUGGUGGAGACUAAAAGUUGUUAGAAAGAAUGAGACUGCGUAUAACAUCAUGGUUGGAGUGCUCUAGUAGCUAAGUUGAAACUGCUUUAAUUUCCUUCUACUCUUGUAAUAUUGAUUAGACGUGUAAUGCGGCCUCCUUUAAUAUGUUAUGUUAUAUUUUUAGUUUGAAAAUAGGUUUUGUGUUGUUGUAAUAUUUGCUAUUUGUUAUUUUUUCUAUUAUGGUUGUAUUA